AACGAACGCUGGCGGCAUGCCUAACACAUGCAAGUCGAACGAAGCCUUCGGGCUUAGUGGCGCACGGGUGCGUAACACGUGGGAAUCUGCCCUUUGGUUCGGAAUAACAGUUAGAAAUGACUGCUAAUACCGGAUAAUGACGUAAGUCCAAAGAUUUAUCGCCGAAGGAUGAGCCCGCGUAGGAUUAGGUAGUUGGUGGGGGUAAUGGCCCACCAAGCCGACGAUCCUUAGCUGGUCUGAGAGGAUGAUCAGCCACACUGGGACUGAGACACGGCCCAGACUCCUACGGGAGGCAGCAGUGGGGAAUAUUGGACAAUGGGCGAAAGCCUGAUCCAGCAAUGCCGCGUGAGUGAUGAAGGCCUUAGGGUUGUAAGCUCUUUUACCAGGGAUGAUAAUGACAGUACCUGGAGAAUAAGCUCCGGCUAACUCCGUGCCAGCAGCCGCGGUAAU
rnacentral:rRNA from 1 species